rnacentral:lncRNA from 1 species
GACAAAUCUCUUGUCAGCUGCUUUUAUCUGUAAGUAUUUUUUUCUUUUUAUUAUACUUCUAACUUCUUUAAUUAUAUGUAUAUAAUCCUUACACACUUAGGAUUUGUAUGUAUAUAUGCAGGCACCAAAUGAGAGAGCUCAGAAUGAGAAAUGACAAUAGUAUUGGGUUCGUUGACCCUUAUAUUGUUUUCAAGGCUCCGCAGGCAGUGUGGACAACAGCUCAUG